CCUACGGGUGGCAGCAGUGGGGAAUAUUGGGCAAUGGGCGCAAGCCUGACCCAGCAACGCCGCGUGAAGGAAGAAGGCCUUCGGGUUGUAAACUUCUUUUCUGAGGGACGAAGAAAGUGACGGUACCUCAGGAAUAAGCCACGGCUAACUACGUGCCAGCAGCCGCGGUAAUACGUAGGAGGCAAGCGUUAUCCGGAUUGAGUGGGUGUAAAGGGCGCGUAGGUGGGUAGGCAAGUCAGUAGCGAAAACUCAGGGCUCAACCUUGAGACUGCAAUUGAAACUGUUUUUCUUGAGUGCUGGAGGGGCAAUCGGAAUUACGAGUGUAGCGGUGGAAUGCGUAGAUAUUAGGAGGAACACCAGUGGCGAAGGCGGAUUGCUGGACAGUAACUGACGCUGAGGCGCGAAAGCGUGGGGAGCAAACAGGAUUAGAUACCCCAGUAGUC
rnacentral:rRNA from 1 species